rnacentral:rRNA from 1 species
UACGAGGGGGGCGAGCGUUGUUCGGAAUUAUUGGGCGUAAAGGGUGCGUAGGCGGUUCCGCAAGUCCUGUGUGAAAUCUUCGGGCUCAACUCGAAGUCUGCACGGGAAACUGCGGGGCUUGAGUGUGGGAGAGGUGAGUGGAAUUCCCGGUGUAGCGGUGAAAUGCGUAGAUAUCAGGAGGAACACCUGUGGCGAAGGCAGCCACCUGGCUUAAUACUGACGCUGAGGCGCGAAAGCGUGGGGAGCGAACAGG